rnacentral:sRNA from 1 species
UGAACAGGAAAAAAUCAUCAUUGUAUUGAUGAUGUUGCUGAUUUCUAACUACAUAACUACUAAUUCUAAAAAAUAUCUCAUUUGCUGGAAUUGUCCUCUAUUGAAAAUCAGCUAUGUCUCUACUUAAUUCCUCUCAGAUUGCCUGAAUCAUUCCUCUUUCAUUGUUCUCAUUCUCAGUCAUCUUCUCAUCAACCACAUCACUGAACUUGCAAAUCAGAGUUUGUGGAUUAAUCAUGACUUGGAAGAUACUGUCAUUGAUCAUAUGAUAUUUGAGAGUUGAGGUUUCAGAGUGAUUUGAUGCUAGGCUCAGAGCACCCAUCAGAGUCAGAAGAUUUGAAAAGAAAAGAAGAGAAUUGACAAUAGAGGUGGUAGGGGUGGUGGUGGACUUAUCAUCAUCAGUGUCACUGUCAUCAGAUUCAUCAUCACUCAUUUCAACUUUUGUAAAUUCAGUC